rnacentral:rRNA from 1 species
UACGUAGGGCGCAAGCGUUAUCCGGAAUUAUUGGGCGUAAAGAGCUCGUAGGCGGCUUGUCGCGUCGUUCGUGAAAACCUGUGGCUCAACUACAGGCUUGCGGUCGAUACGGGCAGGCUGGAGUUCGGUAGGGGAGACUGGAAUUCCUGGUGUAGCGGUGAAAUGCGCAGAUAUCAGGAGGAACACCGGUGGCGAAGGCGGGUCUCUGGGCCGAUACUGACGCUGAGGAGCGAAAGCGUGGGGAGCGAACAGG